CCCUGCCCAGUGUCAUUGGGGCCAACAGAUCGAGACUGAGUUUGGUUCACAAGCAAAGGAAACUUUAUAUUUUGAUCAGAGAAUGGAGAGGUGUGCAAGAUGUGGUUCUUUCACACACAUACAUAUAUCUAUUCUUCUUUGGAACCUUUUCCCAGUUAGAAUCAUCAUACCUGAAUCC